UACUACUACUACUUCUACUACUCCAGGUGGUCCGGGCCCGGCUGGAGCAGCAGGGUGUGACGGUCCGUGAUGUGAAGCUCAACGGCUCGGCCGCCAGCCACGUGCUGCACCAGGACAACGGUCUGGGCUACAAGGACCUGGACCUGAUCUUCGGCCUGAACCGCACCGACCACAAGACCUUCCAGCUGGUGAAGGACGUGGUGCUGGGCUGCCUGGUGGACUUCCUGCCAGAGGGCGUGUGCCGCGAGCGCAUCUCCCCCAUGGCCCUGAAGGACGCGUACGUCCAGAAGCUGGUGAAGGUGUGCAACGACACCGACCGCUGGAGCCUCAUCUCGCUCUCCAACAACACGGGCAAGAACGUGGAGCUCAAGUUCGUGGACACCCUGCGCCGGCAGUUUGAGUUCAGCGUGGACUCGUUCCAGAUCAACCUGGACUCCCUGCUGCUGUUCGACCGCUGCUCGGAGACGCCCAUGUCCGAGGCGUUCCAUCCCACCGUGCAGGGCGAGAGCAUGUACGGCGACGUGGAGGAGGCCCUGGGCCACCUGCGCACCAAGACCAUCGCCACGCGCAGCCCCGAGGAGAUCCGCGGCGGCGGCCUGCUCAAGUACUGCCACCUGCUGGCGCGGGGCUUCCGGCCGGCCUCGGAGACGCACAUGAAGCAGAUGCAGCGCUACAUGUGCUCGCGCUUCUUCAUCGACUUCCCCGACAUCGGCGAGCAGCACCGCAAGCUGGAGGCCUACCUGCAGAACCACUUUGCGGGCAUGGAGCACAAGCGCUACGAGUGCCUGGUGACGUUGUACCGCGUGGUGGACGAGAGCACCGUGUGCCUGAUGGGCCACGAGCGGCGCCAGACGCUGGCCCUCAUCUCGGCCCUGGCGCUGCGGGCCAUGGCGGAGCAGAACGCCAUCCCCGCCCUGGCCAACAUCACCUGCUACUACCAGCCGGCGCCGUACGUGCGCGACGUCAACUUCAGCAACUACUACGUGGCGCAGGUGCAGUCGCCCAUGGGGGCGUGCGGUAGCGCCGCCUAUCAGACAUGGCUGCCCUGCAGCUGAGGCCGGGCUGUGAUGUGAGGACAAUCGCUGGUGGGGUUGGUUAUGGCUGUUGUUGUUUUGGGGGUUCUUGACGUUGACUUUCAUUGAUUUUGAGCAGAGUUGUUAUUAUUUACGGUGCUCGGUACGUAUGUAGCAAAAAAAACUAAUUUCUUGUCCUGUUUUGGUUAUUUUUGCCUUUUUACUCUGACACUAUUCCACUAAGUUAUAUUAUUACUGCUGUAAAUCUUUCUUUGAGCCGAUCGUAAUUUUUUUUCCUAUGGUGGUUUCAUAUCGACUUGUUGAUGUUAAGUAAGACAAAAUGAAGCAUUGAUAUGUGAGGAAGGAAAGUUUUGUUCUAUCUCUCUUCUAGUGGAAGCUUAUGGCAAAGUAAAUAACUGGUUUAAAGCGGAAUGCUGCAUUCUGUUCUAUCUGUGGUUUCAACUGACCCGAACGUCACCAAAGUACCAAAGAAAUACAACUCAUUGUGUGUUAAACAAUGACAUGUUAUUCCAAGUGCCUGAAAAUGACUUAGUAGAUGCAGUGUAAGACAACAUUUUUUAUCUUUUUUUUUUGUAUUCAGGUUACUGUAAAUUGAUAUACAUGGUCAGGGUACUUUGUUUGGAAAUUAUUAAAAAAAAAUAAAAACAAGCUAUGGCAA